GGCUCAGGACGAACGCUGGCGGCGUGCCUAAUACAUGCAAGUCGAACGCUUCUUUUUCCACCGGAGCUUGCUCCACCGGAAAAAGAGGAGUGGCGAACGGGUGAGUAACACGUGGGUAACCUGCCCAUCAGAAGGGGAUAACACUUGGAAACAGGUGCUAAUACCGUAUAACAAUCGAAACCGCAUGGUUUUGAUUUGAAAGGCGCUUUCGGGUGUCGCUGAUGGAUGGACCCGCGGUGCAUUAGCUAGUUGGUGAGGUAACGGCUCACCAAGGCCACGAUGCAUAGCCGACCUGAGAGGGUGAUCGGCCACAUUGGGACUGAGACACGGCCCAAACUCCUACGGGAGGCAGCAGUAGGGAAUCUUCGGCAAUGGACGAAAGUCUGACCGAGCAACGCCGCGUGAGUGAAGAAGGUUUUCGGAUCGUAAAACUCUGUUGUUAGAGAAGAACAAGGAUGAGAGUAACUGUUCAUCCCUUGACGGUAUCUAACCAGAAAGCCACGGCUAACUACGUGCCAGCAGCCGCGGUAAUACGUAGGUGGCAAGCGUUGUCCGGAUUUAUUGGGCGUAAAGCGAGCGCAGGCGGUUUCUUAAGUYUGAUGUGAAAGCCCCCGGCUCAACCGGGGAGGGUCAUUGGAAACUGGGAGACUUGAGUGCAGAAGAGGAGAGUGGAAUUCCAUGUGUAGCGGUGAAAUGCGUAGAUAUAUGGAGGAACACCAGUGGCGAAGGCGGCUCUCUGGUCUGUAACUGACRCUGAGGCUCGAAAGCGUGGGGAGCAAACAGGAUUA
rnacentral:rRNA from 1 species